CGUCUAUAUACGUAUAGCAUAUCAAUAAGCGGAGGAAAAGAAACUAACAAGGAUUCCCUUAGUAACGGCGAGUGAAGCGGGAAGAGCUCAAAUUUGAAAUCUUCAAGGGUUCUACCUUGACGAAUUGUAGUUUAUAAGAAGUGUUUUCUGUUAGUAGAGGUGGCUAAAAGUUCUUUGGAAUAGGACAUCAUAGAGGGUGAGAAUCCCGUAUUUGAUCAUUCUUUCUAACGUUGUGAUACACUUUCAACGAGUCGGAUUGUUUGGGAAUGCAGUCCAAAAUGGGUGGUAAAUUUCAUCUAAAGCUAAAUAUUGGCGAGAGACCGAUAGCGAACAAGUACCGUGAGGGAAAGAUGAAAAGAACUUUGAAAAGAGAGUUAAACAGUACGUGAAAUUGUCAAAAGGGAAGCGUUUGACACCAGUGUUGUUUUUCCGAAAAUCAAUUGACGAAUGUUUUAUUUUUGAGGAGUUAUGACUUCAUCGGCUUGCUUCUCUCUUUAUGAAACUUUCUUAAUGCACUUUUCGGUUAACAAGUCAACAUCAAUUUCUUUUGUUGUAAAAGAGUAUGAGGAAGGUGGCUUUCUUUUCGGAGAAAGUGUUUAUAGCCUUGUACCUCUGCAAUCGGAGAGAUUGAGGUCUGCAGCGUAGGAUCCUUCGGGGUUAGAUACAGUUUGUGCUAAGUUAUAGCUUUUCAUAGACAACUUGUUGACUAUGUUUAGUCUUGUAGCUUACUCGCUGAUGCUAUUUUACCUACGCUUAGGAUGUUGAAGAUAUGCGCGACACG
rnacentral:rRNA from 1 species